GACGAAGGAUGCAAGCGUUAUCCGGAUUCAUUGGGUUUAAAGGGCGCGUAGGUGGUCUUAUAAGUCAGUGGUGAAAUCUCGCAGCUUAACUGCGAAACUGCCAUUGAUACUGUAGGACUUGAGUAUAGUUGCUUUGGGCGGAAUAUGACAUGUAGUGGUGAAAUACUUAGAUGUCAUAGAACACCGAUUGCGAAGGCAGCUCACAAAACUAUAACUGACACUGAGGCUCGAAAGUGCGGGGAUCAAACAGG
rnacentral:rRNA from 1 species